rnacentral:rRNA from 1 species
UGGUUUGAACCGGGCAAAAGUCGUAACAAGGUAGCUGUAGGUGAACCUGCCGCUGGAUCAUUAC